AUUGAACGCUGGCGGCAGGCCUAACACAUGCAAGUCGAGCGGAUGAAGGGAGCUUGCUCCUGGAUUCAGCGGCGGACGGGUGAGUAAUGCCUAGGAAUCUGCCUGGUAGUGGGGUAUAACGUCCGGAAACGGGCGCUAAUACCGCAUACGUCCUGAGGGAGGAAGUGGGGGAUCUUCGGACCUCACGCUGUCAGAUGAGCCUAGGUCGGAGUAGCUAGUUGGUGGGGUAAAGGCCUACCAAGGCGACGAUCCGUAACUGGUCUGAGAGGAUGAUCAGUCACACUGGACCUGAGACACGGUCCAGACUCCUACGGGCGGCAGCAGUGGGGAAUAUUGGACAAUGGGCGAACGCCUGAUCCAGCCGUGCCGCGUGUGUGAAGAAGGUCUUCGGAUUGUAAAGCACUUUAAGUUGGGAGGAAGGGCAGUACGUUAAUACCUUGCUGUUUUGACGUUACCAACAGAAUAAGCACCGGCUAACUCCGUG
rnacentral:rRNA from 1 species